rnacentral:rRNA from 1 species
UACGGAGGAUCCAAGCGUUAUCCGGAUUUAUUGGGCUUAAAGGGCGCGUAGGCGGCUAGGUAAGUCUCGGGUGAAAUCUUUCGGCUCAACCGGAAACGUGCCUGGGAUACUGCCUAGCUAGAGGGAGAUAGGGGCGGACGGAACUUCCGGUGGAGCGGUGAAAUGCGUUGAUAUCGGAAGGAACGCCGGUGGCGAAAGCGGUCCGCUGGAUCUCUACUGACGCUGAGGCGCGAAAGCCAGGGGAGCAAACGGG